rnacentral:lncRNA from 1 species
GCUCCCCAAGCCAACAUUCUAGCCAAAUCUCCCGUCCUACUCAAUUCCCCUCAACUUUCUCCCAAUCACAAUUUCUCCAAUCCCCACAGCUUACCCAAGCCACCACCUAAUUUCCAAACCUUCCACCCUUUUGGUCCUACAGCCAAUUAUCACCUAUAUGAUAGUUCUCCUCUAAAUUUCCAAGCAGCAAGUUGGUUAAAAUCUGCACCAAUAAGCUUUCAAGGUUUUCGUCCUCGAGAAAGUUGGGUGCACUCACCAAAUCAAGUUGUCGGAUCCAUCUCAUCUCAUGGAUCAGAAUCAGCCUCUCAGUGCCCUGCAAGACAGGAAGAGAACAAUUUGGUUAACAUCGAAGAGAUCAACCAAAAUGGCGACGGAUACUUGAAGCGGACAGCAAGAACAAGAGGACUAAGAUUUCUGAAUCAGGUGCAUAUACAUCAUCAUCCAACCAAGAAACUGAGGAGGAGACCAGACGAAAAGAGAAGCACCCUGAAAGGCAGAAAAAAGCCAAAGCCAAGUUUAAAGGGAAAGGAAAAAAAACCUGCACCAUCUCCUUUGGGGGACCAGCCAUCUCAAUAUUUUGUUCUCUUCAACAAAGCUGAAAUUGAGAGCAGAAGCGGUGCUGAAAUCUGCAGAAGCAACUACCAAAUCAGCAGAAGCAAAGAAGGAACAAACUAG